UACGGAGGGUGCAAGCGUUGUUCGGAAUUACUGGGCGUAAAGGGCGCGUAGGCGGCCCUCUAAGUCAGACGUGAAAUCCCUCGGCUCAACCGGGGAACUGCGUCUGAGACUGGAAGGCUUGAAUUCGGGAGAGGGAUGUGGAAUUCCAGGUGUAGCGGUGAAAUGCGUAGAUAUCUGGAGGAACACCGGUGGCGAAGGCGGCAUCCUGGACCGAGAUUGACGCUGAUGCGCGAAAGCCAGGGGAGCAAACGGG
rnacentral:rRNA from 1 species